rnacentral:lncRNA from 1 species
UAAGGUGCAAUAGCUGUUGGGUCAUGCACUGGUGCAAGACACUUUCACAACCACAAAAAUAGAAUAUUCUGUUAAGAUGCCAUAUGGGUUACCUAUUGAACCUGUAAUUUUAGAUUUAUAAUUUAUUAUGAUUUUAAUUUGUCUUUUACAUUAAAACCCCUACAUUUCUUCCUCAAUACUUGAAAGAUUCAAAUCUUAAAAAACUGGGACACAGAAACACAAAUCAUAAUACGCUUGAAUCAACAAUGUAGCUAUGGAAGAAUCUCUACACAACAAUAAAGGGGAGAACACCUCAAUCUUACUCUCGAAAAUACAUACAAACAAUCCAUUUUAAUUUUAAAAUCCUUCACCCCAAUCCCCAUAACCUUGUAUCAAUCCAGAAUUUUUUUAAGAGGAAGUUGUAACGCACUCAAUACCUUGACCAAAAUUAUAUCAAAAUAAUCAAAUGAGAUCAGAAUAAAAAUAAGAACCAAACCCAGAUUUUGAACUACCAUUUCUCAGAAUCAGACCCACACUAGAGGUUAGCCAUCGUCGCUGGGAAGAUGAUCUGGGUGCAAAUGGACCUCGGAACCUGAAAAGAGCACCAAAUCUGGGUUGUCUCCGAAUGAGGGUUUGAAUUUUCUCGAUCUGAUUGGUUGUGGCAGCGAUUGUUCCUGAUGGAACUUUGAUGCAACCCCAUUUCCGCCGCCAAAAGGGGAAGUGGUGUGGCGGAGGUCAUUGUUCUUCGAGUGAACCAGAUUUGGUUAGUCCAUGCCCAUCUGUCACUGAAAAUAUUUUGGCUGUCCAGAUCUGGGUUAGACGCAUUCACGGUGGUGGGUUGGAUCUUUGGGCGAAUCUGUGCAAUCUCUGAUCAUGUGGGAUCAUCACUUUCUUUCCACGCUGUGUUUUCUUCAUUCUCUUUUGUUGAUUUUGAUUUUGAUAUAUCUGCAACAUGCAUGAUUUUUGAUAUUCUGCAACAUGUUGAAGAGAGAGGCAGCGAGAAGGGAGAAGGAGAGGUAGAGAGAAGGUAGAAUGUAAAAAGGGUAUUUUUGUAAUCUUCUAUUAUUAUUUUUUUUAUC